UACGAAGGGGGGCUAGCGUUGCUCGGAAUCACUGGGCGUAAAGGGUGCGUAGGCGGGUCUUUUAAGUCAGGGGUGAAAUCCUGGAGCUCAACUCCAGAACUGCCUUUGAUACUGAGGAUCUUGAGUUCGGGAGAGGUGAGUGGAACUGCGAGUGUAGAGGUGAAAUUCGUAGAUAUUCGCAAGAACACCAGUGGCGAAGGCGGCUCACUGGUCCGGUACUGACGCUGAGGUGCGAAAGCGUGGGGAGCAAACAGG
rnacentral:rRNA from 1 species